CAACCUCAACUCAUAUGGGACUACCCCCUGAAUUUAAGCAUAUUAAUUAGGGGAGGAAAAGAAACUAACAAGGAUUUUCUUAGUAGCGGCGAGCGAAAAGAAAACAGUUCAGCACUAAGUCACUUUGUCUAUAUGGCAAAUGUGAGAUGCAGUGUAUGGGAGCGUCAAUAUUCUAGUAUGAGAAAUUAAUGAUUUAAGUCCUUCUUAAAUGAGGCCAUUUACCCAUAGAGGGUGCCCAGGCCCGUAUAACGUUAAUGAUUGCUAGAUGAUGUUUCCCAAGAGUCGUGUUGCUUGAUAGUGCAGCACUAAGUAGGUGGGUAAACUCCAUCUAAAACUAAAUAUAACCAUGAGACCCGAUAGUAAACAAGUACCG
rnacentral:ncRNA from 1 species